UACGUAGGUGGCAAGCGUUUGUUCGGAAUUACUGGGCGUAAAGGGCGCGUAGGCGGCCUUCUAAGUCAGACGUGAAAUCCCCCGGCUUAACCUGGGAACUGCGUCUGAUACUGGAGGGCUUGAGUGCGGGAGAGGGAUGUGGAAUUCCAGGUGUAGCGGUGAAAUGCGUAGAUAUCUGGAGGAACACCGGUGGCGAAGGCGGCACCCUAGCAUUUUUCUGACGCUCAUGUGCGAAAGCGUGGGGAGCGAACGGG
rnacentral:rRNA from 1 species